CGUAGGAGGCAAACGUUAUCCGGAUUUACUGGGCGUAAAGCGCGUGUAGGUGGUUCUGUAAGUAGGGCGUGAAAGCUCCCGGCUCAACUGGGAGAGGCCGUUCUAAACUGCAGAGCUAGAGGAUGGUAGAGGGAGGUGGAAUUCCAGGUGUAGCGGUGGAAUGCGCAGAUAUCUGGAGGAACACCAGUGGCGAAGGCGGCCUCCUGGACCAUUCCUGACACUCAGACGCGAAAGCUAGGGUAGCAAACGGGAUUAGAGACCCCGGUAGUCCUAGCCCUAAACGAUGUAGACUAGACGUCGGCGGUGUAAUAGCUGUCGGUGUCCAAGCUAACGCGAUAAGUCUACCGCCUGGGGACUACGGCCGCAAGGUUAAAACUCAAAGGAAUUGACGGGUCCCCGCACAAGCAGCGGAGCGUGUGGUUUAAUUCGUUGCUACACGAAGAACCUUACCUGGGUUUGACAUAGCAGUGGUAGGGAAGAGAAAUCGGACCGACCCUUCGGGGAGCUGUUACAGGUGUUGCAUGGCUGUCGUCAGCUCGUGUCGUGAGAUGUUCGGUUAAGUCCGCUAACGAGCGCAACCCUCGCUGUGUGUUACAAGUGUCACACAGGACUGCCGGUAUUAAGCCGGAGGAAGGUGAGGAUGAUGUCAAGUCAGCAUGACCUUUAUAUCCAGGGCUACACACACGCUACAAUGGUCUGUACAAUAGGUUGCCAAGCCGCGAGGCGGAGCCAAUCCUAAAAAGCAGGCCUCAGUUCAGAUUGCAGUCUGCAACUCGACUGCAUGAAGUUGGAGUUGCUAGUAACCGCAGGUCAGCUAUACUGCGGUGAAUACGUUCCCGGGGAUUGUACACACCGCCCGUCACGUCAUGGAAGCUGGCAACACCUGAAGCCGGUAUCCUAACCCGUAAGGGAGGGAGCUGUCAAAGGUGGGGUCGGUGACUGGGACGAAGUCGUAACAAGGUAGGUGUACCGGAAGGUGCGCCUG
rnacentral:rRNA from 1 species